rnacentral:rRNA from 1 species
GGGGGGAACCGCCGGACAGUUCGUGAGGUUUUGGCCCUCUCAAAAGCCAAUAACCCCAAGCUAGUCUUUCUCUGUGAGACUAGACAAGAUGCAACUAAAGUGGAGAAGUUGAAGUGGAGGUUGGGCCUAAAGGGCUUUCACGGUGUUAGUACUGAUGGACGAAGCGGCGGUCUUGCACUAUUCUGGGAGGAGACGCUUACAGUGACAGUGUUCGAUUCGUGUAAAAGGUUCAUUGAUGUUCGAGUUCUUGAUGGUGGUUCCGGUAUUUCAUGGAGAGGAACCUUUGUUUAUGGCGAGCCGCAUCUGGAAAAUCGUCAGCGUAUGUGA